rnacentral:rRNA from 1 species
UACAGAGGUGGCAAGCGUUGUUCGGAAUUACUGGGCGUAAAGGGUGCGUAGGCGGCCUGCUAAGUCGAACGUGAAAUCCCCGGGCUCAACCCGGGAACUGCGUCCGAUACUGGUAGGCUUGAAUUCGGGAGAGGGAUGCGGAAUUCCAGGUGUAGCGGUGAAAUGCGUAGAUAUCUGGAGGAACACCGGUGGCGAAGGCGGCAUCCUGGACCGACAUUGACGCUGAGGCGCGAAAGCCAGGGGAGCAAACGGG